rnacentral:lncRNA from 1 species
CGGGUCGAUGAUGCCAGCAGCAAUGAGACUGCAAUUAUCACUUGUUUAGUUUCUGUGCUUGCCGUGGUUUACUUCGCAUGGAAUGUGAAAAAAUCAAGGAAAGCAAAUGCUACACUGCCACCAGGACCUCGCGGCUUGCCUGUAUUCGGAUACCUCCCAUUUCUUGGAACUACUGACUUGCACAAGAAAUUCACGGAAUUAUCCGGAGUUUAUGGUCCGAUCUUCAAGCUUUGGCUUGGAAAUAAAUUAUGUGUAGUGGUGAGCUCACCUUCCCUAAUUAGACAAGUGGUUCGUGAUCAAGAUACAACAUUCGCGAACCGUGACCCACCGAAGGCUGCACUAGUGGUCUCCUAUGGUGGCAAUGAUAUUGCAUGGUCCAAUUACGGUCCCGAAUGGAGAAAGUUGCGCAAAUUUUUUGUGGGCAAGAUGAUGAAUAACGAAAGCCUUGAUGCUUGUUAUGCUCUAAGAAAACAAGAGGUUAAAAAUACUAUCAGGGAUUUGUAUAACAACGACAACAAAAUUGGCAAGCCCAUUGACAUUGGUGAAUUGUCGUUUUCAACAUUGGUAUGUGCUAUACAGAACAUGCUGUGGGGUGAAGCGCUUGAAUUAAAAGAGAAAGGGACCACUAAUCUUAGGGCUGGGCUAAAAUUUAAGCUGGCAGAACUCAUGGUGCUUGCGGGAACACCGAAUAUUUCGGAUGUCUUUCCAAUGCUUUCAUGGCUCGACAUACAAGGUAUAGAGAGGAGAGCAAAGAAGAUUUCACUCUGGCUUGAUAAUGUUAUAAAUUCUACUGUUGAACAGCAUAGAAACAAGGAGUUAACUGUUGAAGGUGAAGAAAGAGCGGGGAAAAAUUUUGAAGGAUCAAGGAACAAGAACUUCUUGCAGUUACUAUUGGAGCUUCAAGAAAAUGAUGACAGUGCUUCCUCAAUUAGCAUGAACCAAUUCAAGGCCGUACUCGCGGUAUGUUAAGCAACUAGCCACGAACAGUUAUACAAGCACAGUUGUAUAUUUGCAUGAGUGAUAUUUUCAACCUUUUUUUUUUAAUUAGAAUUUUAUUGUCACCUUUUGGACAGGAUAUAAUUACGUCUGGAACCGACACCACAACUACGAUGGUGGAAUGGACAAUGGCAGAGUUGAUGCAGCAUCCACAAGUAAUGAAGAAAGUUCAGGAAGAAUUAGCUCAAGUUGUGGGCAUGGACAGUUGUGUUGAAGAAUUUCACCUGUCUAGAUUAAUGUAUUUAGAUGCUGUGGUGAAGGAAACAUUUCGUCUGCAUCCUGCAGUGCCUUUAUUACUACCACGUAGGGCAAGCGAGAGUAGCAACAUCGGUGGCUAUAACAUUCCCAAAGAUACAACUAUUAUGUUGAAUGUUCGGGCAAUCCACAGGGACCCUAAACUUUGGGAUAAUCCCUUACAAUUUCGACCCGAGAGGUUUCUAGAUGACGGUAUCGCGAGUAAGUUCGAUUACUCAGGUAACAAUUUUCAGUACUUGCCAUUUGGUUCUGGUAGAAGAAUGUGUGCUGGGAUUGCUCUAGCUGAGAGGAUGCUGAUGUUUGUUCUGGCUUCCUUAUUGCACUCAUUCGAGUGGGAAUUGCCAACUGGCACAAAGCUAAACUUAUCAGAAAAAUUUGGGAUUGUCAUUAAGAAAAAAGAGCCAUUGGUUGCUAUUCCAACACCAAGACUAUCCAAUUCAGAGCUCUACCAUUAAGACAAUGGUUGUGAUGAUUUUGUUAAUUUCCGAAGAUUUGUAUGUUAUUUUAAGUUCAAUCGUAAUAAAAUAUUUCAAAUAAGAGUCCUCCGUUGCUUUUUUUUUUUUUUCAACGGCAUAAUCUGUCGUCAUGCUUGUAUUUGGAGCUACUUUGUAAUAAUUAUGUUUGAAUUACAAUUUAUAAAUAUUACAUUUUAAAAUUUUAUGAGAGUCUAAAUUUAUACACGUUCAAUAACCCGCUUCAUACAUAUUUAACACAAUUUAUAUCAUACAUUGUACACCCAUUUGUCAUAAAUUACACUAUUUUGUAUCUCUAAAUAAUAUUACGUAUUGAUAUUAUAAUAUAUAUAUAUAUAUAUAUAUAUAUAUAUAUAUAUAUGUUUAUCAAAAGACGAUACCAUUCAAUAUAUAUUGAAAAGUGAACAAAGAAAAUUUUCUUAUGGUUUAAAAAUAUUAUGAAUUCUGCUGUUGAACAGUAUGGAAACAAGGUCUCUGUUGUUAAAGGUGAAGAAGCAACAGGGAACAAUAUUGAAGGAAGAAAUUUCACAUGUUUAGUUGCUGAAUUUGCCGCUGUAUUCUAUCGGUAGCAAAAAGAUUAGAGUUUUUAUUUUUCUCUAUUAAUGUUAAGUCAAUUUUCUAUAACAAAUUCGGUUGAGUUUAAUUGUGUUACAAUAUAAAUUGAAUGAUAAUAGAAUUUUCAACGAAUAUUUCAAUAUAUUUGUUAUGCGAUGGAUUUUAAAAUUUAUAAAAUUAUUUGUUACUAAAUUGCAUCAUAUGCUAAAAUCACCUGAAACCUAAUUCCAUAACUAACCCUUUAUUUUUAGUUCUCAAGAAAUCUUGUAAGAACAAAAUUCUUUUAUAACAAAACUUUUACAACAAAUUAAUUUGUAACUCAUUCCUGUGCGAGAAUCGCUCUCAAUUUCCUUCAAUUGCUGUUGAACAAUCAUCUGCUUAUCAAAAUUCAAGCAUAAUCUUUUUUUUUUUUUAAUUUCUUCAUCAUUCUUUUGAAAAAAAAAUCAGGAUAUGCUGUUAAAUUUUGAAAUAAAUUAUCUCAAAAUAAUUACUAAGCAGAAAAAACAAAGGGGUUUAACUAGGCUAUGCACCUUUGAAAAUUAUAUGUUGAUCGAUAAGAAUGAUGAUCACGAUUGAGGAGUUUAAUUAAAAUAUAUAAGAUUUUAAAAUUAAUCAAGGUUAAAUUGUGAAUUUUAGAAAGAGAGGUUUUGUGAGAAUGCUGAAAGGGUCUUAAUAGUUCCACUCUUUUUAAAAGCAACCAUAGUCAUCAUUUUUCCCGAUUUCUUCUUCCCAUCUCCAUCUUACUUAGAAAUUUCCCAGAGCCUUUGUUUCCCACCUUUCAUUUUUCUUCUUUCUAAUUUAAUAUUAUAGUAUUAUAAAAAUAAUUACUCACAUUUUAUCAAACACCUCCAUUCUACCAAGGCCUUGUUUUAGUAGUAGGCUUUUAUUAUCUCAAUAAAAUUGAAAAAACAAAUCUCAAUAAUAUUGGAAAAAAAAAACCUACCCAUAUUUGUAACUUUAAUUUAUUAUUCUGCAUAGACCUACUUUUUAGCUUUGAAUUUUGUUGGAGCCAUGUAUAAACAGAAUAUGUUGAAAUCAGCACCAAAAAAAAAAAACUAAUUAUAUAAUUUCUGUUCCCAAGGACAUGACUGAGUGAUUCUCAAGAAGUUUUGUUUGGCUGGCUACUUAGGUUUAAAUCUUGGUGGAGAUUAGGGGUUAAGAAAUAAAUUUGGACUUUGCACACCCCUUUAACUUUUAAAAAGAAAUGAAAAAAACUAAUUAAUAAUCUUUAUUUUAUUUAUUAAAUGUCAUAAUCCUAUGCGUAUUUUAUUUGUUAUCUUUCUAUUUAAAAGACAGGAGGGCAGAUAAAACUGAAAUAAAUUUUUAGCCCUAUCUCCAUCUUUCAAAUUUCAUAGUUAGGUGACCAGCUAAAGAAAAUUAAUUGAAAACUACUCCAUCAAAUUAAAAAUUUUUAUUUAUUUAAUUUGUGGAGAUGUAGAAAAUCAAACCCCAUGCCUUUUCGCAUGCAAAAGUGUCAACCUGAUCUAGCUAUGUUGCAACAGUGAACAUAUUUCAAUACAUGACUAUCAUCCUUUAUCGUAAAUACUACUAUAACUAAUAACAUACAAUUGAAAUAAUUAGUGUUAACACUUGGCUAUAAAAAAAAGGUUUUGUGCUUGAAUCUUCACGCAUGACCUUCAUUCCCUUAUUGACUUUGCUAACACAGAUUUUGAGGCAUUAAAACUAAAUAAUAAUUGACUUUGUGGGCCGAGGAUGCCAGCAACAAGGAGACCACAAUUAUCACUUGUUAAGUUACUCUAAUUGCGGUUGUCUUAUAUUCAUAGAAUAUUAGUAAUAAGAUUAUUGUAGAAUUUUUUUAUAUUAAAAUCAAGUCAAUUUGUUAUAACAAAUUUAGUUGAAUUUAAUCGUAUUACCACAUAAAUUGAAUAAUAAUAGAAUUCUCGACAAUAUUUCAAUAUUUUAAUCUCAAGCAUUGGAGUGGCAUUUAUUUGUUAUACGGUCGAUUUUAGAAAUUUUCAAAUUAUUCGUUACUGAAUUGCACCAUAUGCUGCAUCACCUGGAACUUACUAAACGGAACGUAGCGUUGGCACCGUUACUCAACAUUCACUGUUACGACUUUGUGACAUUAGAAUUAAAAUCUUUUCCACAUUUAAUUUAUUUACUUCCAAAUUAAUAUUUAACAAAAUAUUUUUUCACAUUAUCAAUGGACAAAACUCCAACGAAAAUAACUAUUCAAGAAAAAUGUAUGCUAGCAUUAUAUGCCAUAUCAUCUGUAAUUUUGUCAGGAUCGAUCAUUCUAAUUUCUAAGCAGAACUUUUUAUCAAUGGACAAACACCUCACACAGCUUGUCAGAGGCAUUAUUAUGAUGGAAAACUGCAAUGGUAUAUCUUGAAUUAUUGGUAGAAUAGUUCUUUGGAGCAAUAAAAACAGAUAAGACAGAUGAGAAAAUUGUCAAUACCCCACCGCAAAAGCAAAAGAAAAAAAGGAAAGGAGACAAAAGAGGAAGAAGAAAAAGAAAAAAGAACGAAGAAAAAAAUGGUGCCACGCGGUAUAGGGAAGAAGAAAAAAAAUUAAUAAAAUAAUAGUGCAUAGCAGUCAUGUGAUUGCUAUAAAUAAAGGGGCGUUUCCCUCAUUUUAUUCUUCGAAUUCUUCAGUGCCUUUUAAGCGAUUUAAGAGUCUAGUGAUUUGAGAGUUUGAGUGUAUUAUGAUUUUAAAUAGGGAGAUAAAAUACUAUAAUACUUGUAACUCAUUUUUAUUAGUAAAAUAUUUUCCUUCUAUUUUCGCCCGUGGGCGUAGGCUAAAAGCUAAACCACAUAAUUUCUGGUGUCUCUAUGUAAUUAUGUGUCUCAUUAUUUCUUAAUUUUACUUUAGUUGCGUGUCUGCUACACCCUUCAAUUUACUAACAAAAAUCGCCAAAAUUAUAUAAGCGGCCCAAAUUUUUUGCUAUUUUCAAGAAAUCCCCAAUCUGAAUGGACCAGACCAAAGGGAGGCAAGUUAGAAAUACGUUUCCUUCAGACAAUAACAGCUAUGAGUCGAUGACAUCAAGCCACGUCGAUAUCAAUAUUGAAUUAAAGGUGUAAUUAUUCAGCAAAUGAGCCUUACACAUCAAGAUAAAAGUCAAGAAAAUGAAAAUUUAUCCCAAUUAAAACACUUUCUUGCUGCAUUUAGUUGUUUCCAUUUGAAGUUAAAAACAACGUUUCGUUCGUUUUGUGGGCAACUCGACUGAGUUAGCUGGCUUCUAGUGCUAGUAUGUGAAAAUAGAAGGCUAAUGAUUUAUUUGUUAUCUUUUGAUAAAAUUAUUAAAGAUAUAAUAUAUUUUCCAUGAUAUAAGUGAAAAAUCACAUCAACAUAGUUUCCAAGCUACAGCAGCUAGUGUUUACCAAACACUUUGCUGUAUCUUUUAAGCUACAACUGCCCAACCUCAAUCACAAACGCACCCUUAAUAGGUUGAUUGAAUUUGUGGGAUAUAGAUUCCACAUAUCUCAUGACCUAGUAAUUAUACAAGUGGUUCGUGAUCAAGAACAACAUUUACUUCCGGCCUAGUGACCUAGCAACUGCUGCAUUGGUCGCCACCUAUGGUGUCGACGAUAUUGCAUGGUCCAAUUGUGGCCUUGAAUGAAAAAAGUUGAGCAAAUUAUUUGUGGGCACGAUGAUAAGUAACGCAAGCCUUGAUUCUAGUUAUGGUCGAAGAAAACAAGAGGUUAAGAAUACUAUCAGAGAUAUUCAUAACAACAAAAAGGAAAAAAAAAAAAAGGCAUUGGCAAGUCCAUUGAUAUUGGUGAAUUGUCGAUUUCAACUUUGGCUUGUGUAAUUUAGAACCUGCGCAUUGUGGUAUGGCACUGGCAUGCUUGCAUUGACUUGGGGACAAAUCUUGGGGCUGAGCUAAAUUUAGGGUUGUAGAACUCAUGGUGCUAAUGGGAACACCAAAUAUUUUUUGACAUAUUUCGGUGCUUUCAUGGUUUAAUUCAAGGUAUAAAAAGGAGUGUUGAGAAUGUCAAAUAAAACGACAUUGAAUGGAAGUUUUCAAAGACAUGAUCCGCACUGAACGGUAACGACAUGGUUGGUGAAGAUUUUUCCGUAAUACGAGUAUCUAAAUUUUGAAAAAUUAUAACCUCUGCAUCUAUAAAUAUGCUCAAUGUAUAAUGUUUUACUUAAGAAAUGAAAAACUUGUUUCUUCAUGGUAUCAGAGCGAGGUUCACUGCCCUUUAGGCUUGGCAAAACCCCAGGUCCGGUCUGGGUUUAGUGCAAAUCGGGACCGGAUCGGCUGCCAAAAAUUGAAACCCGGGCUCGAAAAAAACCCAGCUUUUGCAUGUCCGGUCCGGGCUUGAGCCCGGCGUGUCCUGGGUCCGGAUUUUGUCUUCCAAGCUUCUAAGCCCGCAAACAAUUAUUUCAAAAAAAAUUAAAAAAGGCUCAAAACAGGCUCACAGCAGCAAGUCAGCAAUAUAAAAUUAAAAAAGGGAAAAGGAUUUGGCCGAAAAAACAGAGCAACAGUAAUCACAAAUUCACAAGCUCACAGCAAGUCAGCAACCAUGCACAAAAUUGGUCGAAGAUAAACACAAAUAGCAACAGCCAACAGAGAAGCAAUCGACAAAAAUGCAACUGGGAAGACAAAAUUUAUUAUUUCGCUAAUAGACCUAUAAUGUUCUAAUGUCUUUUCAUUUUAUUUAAAAUACCAAGAAAAGAAAAGGUGAAAUCCAUAUAUGUUGUUAGGCCAAUUACCUAAGGUGUCUGCUCAAGAUUCAAGAAACACAAUGACCAGGUAAUUAAACAAGGAGCAAAGUCACUUGCUAUAUAAAUAAAUAAAUAAAUAUAUGGAGAGAGGGCUAAAACUGAUGAGGCUGAGAAGGAGAGCUCGAAACAGAAGGCAAAAGAGUUGGAUGAGGAGGUUGCUCGUCGUGAUAUGUAAUGAUCGACGAAAAAGACAAAAUGAUUGCAGAUAAGGGAAAAAUGGUUGAUUAGUUGAAGAAGGAAAGACAAGUUAAGCAUGAUGAAAAUAUUUUACUGGAGCAACAGCCGCAACCAAGCAAAAUCGAGUCAGCAAAUGCCAAACCAGAAGAGAUGAUGCCCACUGUCGAGUACCGAGGGGCGACGGUGACGAACUGACGGUGGGUAGCCGGUGGCAGCGUUGCUGCUUAUGUCUUUGGGUUUGGGUAACUGGGGUCUGGGGAAUUCGAAUUAGGGAUUUGGGUGUUUUGCGAUUUGGGUUUGGGUAACUGGUUUUACAUUUUUUUUUUAAGUUUAUUCGGAAAACGGGUUCGGAUUCUGGGUUUUUGGUGCUGAACCCAGAUCGUGCCCGGAAAUGUCCGGGUUUUAAAUUCUGAAACCCGGAUCCGCUUUUGCAGUAUAUGCGGUCUGGGUUUUGUUCGGACCGGAUUGGCCGGGUCUGGGCCGGAUCCGGUCCGGGCGGGUUUUUUUGACACCCCUAACUGCCCUGUUUGUAACAAAAGCAAAGAAAACUAAAUUCCUCCCACAACCAUUUUUCCACUAUUUUUUCUUCCUUAAAAGCAUUUCUAGCAUUACAGAAACCCAUGCCAAUAAAAGAACAAGCCACACAUACGUAAAAACUUAAGUUUACAAAUCUAUCAAUAGUCCCAUAAAUUUUCCCAAGAAGUGUCUUCAAAAACCAAAAAUAUCAUCAAUUUUCUCAGCUUCCAAUAAACAAACUAUAAAAGUUUCGCACUCAAACACAGCCACACGCGCGCCUCCACGCGCUUCCCGGAAUCACGGCCAACCACCACGCGCCUCCGUCACCACUAACUCACCCUCACGCGCUCCAGAGGUUGCAGAAGACGCAAAACAACGUGUCGUUUUCGUCUCUAGAAGUGCAGCAGCUUGGAAAAUGACUCGUCGUUUUUAUUUCGUUAGAAACGACAUGUCGUUUUCUUAAGCAGAAACAAAACAACUUGUUAUUUUUGCCUUAAAUUUUUUUUCCUCAUUUGAAGCUAUACAACAUUUUUCUUUCUAAACUUGUUUUUUGCAAUAAAAAAAGAAAAAAAAUGGAGAAAACUCCAACUGAAUCUACUCAUGUUGUCAUUCAAUCUGUUCAACCUGAUGGGGUAUUUAAUGCCAGAAUUAUCCUUACUAAGACAAACUACAAUAUUUGUUCUCAAAUUAUGGAGAUGCAUCUCACAGAAAGAAAACAAAACUCUCAUAUAUUCAUAGCAGCACAAAGCCAUCUGACAAAUUUUCAAAGGAAUAUGAGAAAUGGUAUAGUGAGAACCAAAAUGUAAAAAGAUGGUUACUUAUAUCCAUGUGUCCUGAGAUCAUGAAGCGAUAGUUCUGAAUUCCUACAGUUUACAAAAUUUGGAAUGCAUUAUCAAAAGUCUUCUAUGAUGGAAGCGAUGAAAUACAAGUUUUCACUCUAAACCAGAAGGCGUUCUCUACGAAGCAAAAUGGACAACCACUCUCUAAAUUCUACGGAUAAUUGAUCGAAGUAUUUGAAGAACUUAAUCAUCGAGAUAAAGUGGUCAUGAAGGAUCCAGAAGAUGUUAUAAUAUACAGAAAGUCUAUUGAAAGAUUGAGAGUGCACAUUUUUCUUGUUGGGCUAGAUGAAGAAUUUGACCAAGUUUGUGGAGAAAUUCUACGAAAAGAUACUAUCCCAGACUUAGAAAAAUGUUAUUCUAUAAUCCGAAAAGAAGAUGUACGGCAAAGCAAACUAAACAAGAAGGUGGACGACUCAGAAACGUCUGCUAUGAUAGCACGAGAGAACAAUGUUUUGAAAUUGUUGGAUAUCCUGACUGGUGGCAUACUCGAAAGAAUAACACAAAGCAGGGAUCAAAAACUGCAGUAGCGGAAUCCACAUCCACUACAGAUCUUAGAAAAGAAUCUUCAGCGCAAAUUGCAACCUCUGUCAAUUCAGGUAAGGUCCUUAAAACUCUUACAUCUGUUAUUAAUAUUAUAUGAAUAAUUGAUUAUGGUGCAACUGAUCAUAUGACUUUUGAUUCUCGAUAAGUUUCUCAAUUGAAACCAUCUUCACAAAAACAUGUUUCCACUGUAAAUAGAACCACAACCUCAGUUAUUGGGGAAUGAUCUUUACAACUCACAGUUAAAUUAAAUUUAGACUAUGUGUUAAUUGUUCAAUCUUUAAAUUAUAAUCUUUUAUAUGUGUCUCAAAUAACCACUUACUUAUCACGUGUUGUAAUGUUUUGGUCCGAUCAUUGCGUGUUUAAGGACAUCCAAACGAAGCAAACGAUUGGUUAUGGUAUCAAACGAGGCAACUUGUAUUACCUGGAGAUGACAUCAAUAAACACUGAAAAGUUAAGCCCCGCAUUAGUAGCAGACAGUUCCAUGAAGAAAAAGGAAAUAAGAAAUUUGGUUAUGGCAUAGACGUUAGGGCAUGUGUCAUUUGGUUACUUAAAAAAAUUGUUUCCUAAUUUGUUUAUGAAAUUUGAUGUUUGUAACUUUAAAUGUGAUGUUUGUGAACUUUCAAAUAGCCAUCGAACUACUUUUCAAUUGUCCUUAAAUAAGAAUCCAGUUCCUUUCAUGGUAGUACAUUCUGAUGUAUGGGGACCAUCUAAAGUUUCUACCAUUGGACGAGCUCGUUGGUUUGUUACAUUUAUUGAUGAUUGUAGCAGAUUGACAUGGAUUUUUUUGAUGAAAUCAAAAGAUGAAGUAAACUCUUAAUUUAUUUCAAAGAUUUCAUAUGAUGGCAACGACUCUAUUUCAGACACAAAUUUGAGUUCUACAUACUGAUAAUGGAGGCAAUUAUAUGAGCACAACAAUUCAACAGUUUUUGAAAUCAAAAUGACUUGACCACCAAAUCACUUGUGUAGGGACACUCCAACAAAAUGGCAUUGCUAAGCGGAAAAACAGACAUUUACUAGAAGUUGUUCAAGCAUCACUAAUCUAGGCCCGCAUGCCAGUAUUUUAUUGGGGAGGAGCACUGGCAUCCGCAACAUACUUGAUCAAUCGAACACCUUCAAUCUCCCUUGGAUUCCAAACUCCUUUUCUGGUUCUAAAUGAAGAAUUAUGUCAUCAAAUGUGCCGAAUUUACCCCCACAUAUGUUUGGUUAUGUGUUGCCUUCGUUCAUUUGCCACGACAAGACAAAUUAUCUCCUCGAGCACUACGUUGUGUAUUUGUAGGGAAUGCCUUACAUAAAAAAGGGUACCGAUGCUAUCAUUCUCUAUUAAGAAAAAAUAUACAUCACCAUGGACGUCGUCUUUUAUGAAGAUAUCAUGUACUACCCAUCAGAGCCUGAAUUUCAGGGGGAGUAUAAUGAAGAGGAAAUUCAUAUUCUUUCAUAUCUUCCACCUGAAGAAGAUCAAUCCUCCAUUGAGGUAGUAAACCUUCAAGAUACUGGAAAAGAAAAUGGCGAUGAUUCUCAGGCUAAGACAAGUGAAUACACAUUUGGGGAGCAAAAUAACUCAGACAUAACCAUAAUCGAGAAUGAGUCCAUGAAGAACCACAUGAAGAAAUAUCUAACCAAUCGUCUGCAGAGGAUGAUCCUACCACAAAUCCUAGUCUAAUAAGAAGAAUACUUCCCCAGCAUCAAAAUAGAGGUAUCCCUAAACCCACAUAUAAGCCUAACCUCUCUAGUAGAGUCAAAUACCCUAUAAGUCAUUUUGUGUCUAACCAUCGCUUGUUAGAAUCAAAUUAGUCAUUUGUGAAUCAAUUAUCUACUGUGUCUAUUCCUAACAGUGUGCAGGAAGCCUUAAAAAAUCCAAAGUGGAAAGCAGCUAUGAAUGACGAAAUGAGAUCUCUUCAAAAAAAUCAAACAUGGGAACUAGUUGAUCUUCCACCAGGAAAGAAACCAGUGGGUUGCUCUUCAGAAGUAUUUGUUGAGAGAGUUUGAGAUGAAGGAACUCAAAAAUAAAAAUAAAAAUAAAAAUCAUACCCAAUAAAAGAGAAAAAAUAAUCCACAAAAAAUCAUCAAGAAAAUAAAUUUGAGACUAAGAGACACCCUGGGUUGCCUUGGAACCACGGCUUUGGCUUCCAUUUUUCAAUUCUUGGCUACAAGUAAUUUAUUGUUUGUUUACAAAGAUGACGGCUGAUUAAUGAAGCUCUAUUAACAAUGAAUGAAUCAAAAAACUUGAGCCUUGAAAAGACUAACGGUCAUAUUUUUCCAACUCCGAAUUAGUGCGUUUGAUGAGUCCUUGCCAAAACAAUCACUCGGCAAAUAACGAUCAUUUUUCAACCAGCAAAACUCAUUCAUUGUUUCUCACGUUAGUUAAGAUUUAAAAAUUGUUUCAAAAUAAGCCUAGUGGUUAGAACCCAAGCGUCACAAUUGUGAGGUCAUGGGUUCGAGCCCCCUCAACAUAUUGUGGGGGUUAAUUUCCUUCUUCAAUUUGAGUGAAGACGGUUCUCUCCCUUUCGAAAUGUGAGUAGAGUGGACGUCCCUCAAAUAUUAGAGAGGGUUAAAAUCUAGGUUGUACUAUAUAAGAUUUGUAAAUUAGUCCCAGUAAUUGUCUGAUUGUAAAUAUCAAUAUACUAAUCUAAUUAAAUAUGAGUUGUAAUCUGAGCAUCAAUAUCAGUUAAUAGGUUGAUUGAAUAUAUGUGGUAAAGAUUCCACGUAUCUCAUGACGGAAUGCUGACCCUAUCUACUUUUACGCGAUUAUUUCACGAGCUUAGGCACGACAAUUGCAAUACAAAUUAUCCCCUCAUCGUAUAUUUCGUUAAAAUUCAUUCUGAAACACUAAACAAUCGAAUAUGGCUUUGCGGGUCGAUGAUGCCAGCAGCAAUGAGAGUGCAAUUAUCACUUGUUUAGUUUCUGUGCUUGCCGUGACUUAUUUCGCAUGGAAUGUGAAAAAAUCAAGGAAAGCAAAUGCUAAACUGCCACCAGGACCUCGCGGCUUGCCUGUAAUCGGAUACCUCCCGUUUCUCGGAACUACUGACUUGCACAAGAAAUUCACGGAAUUUAUUUUACUAUUAUAUUUUUAUUCAAAAUAAUUUUAAUUAGCUUUUAAAAUGAAUGAUUUUAGGAAAUAUAAAUAAAGGUAACUAAGAAUUCUCUUAAUGCAAUAUAUUAUUAAUUAGUUUAAAAAUACAAAUUUAUUAAUUAGAGAAAUUAUUAGUGAAUUUAAAUUAAUGAUCUUAAUGAUUUGUUUGUACGAUUGCCCCCAAUCAAAGGUAAUUUUCCUAAAAAUUAUUAGGAAAUUAGAGAAAUUUAAUUUUUUUAGUGGGUUCAAUUGCCCACACACCCCGACUGAAGCAUUUUUUACAAUAUGUACUCCGUUUGUCGGCUGGAAAAUAAAGGUCUUGACACAUGAUCACUUCAUUCCUUUAUUUACUUUGCUAACGCAGAUUUUGAGGUAUUAAAACAAAUAAUAAUUGAAUAUGACUUUGUGGGUCGACGACGCCAGCAACGAGGAGACCGCCAGUUAUCACAUUUUAAGUUUGCUGUAAUUGCCAUUGUUUUAUAUUAGUAGAAUAUUAGUGAUAAGAUAAUUAAAGAAUAUUAUAGGAGAAAUUCUAAUGUUUGCCUUUUAAUAAAUUAGUUUAUAAGUUUAAAAAAAUUAACAUAUAUCAAAAUAUUAUUGAUUGGUGUUGGUUUCACGUCAGAUUAAGACGUGACAUUUUACUUGUGAGACUGAGACAAUCGUCUUAGACUACUUCAAUAGGUUUGAAGCGUAGGCGGCACCGCUUCAAUUUGCACCAAUGUCUAUCAUUCUUUGUCCUAAUUACUACGAUAAUUAAUAACAUGCAAUUGAAAUUAUUAAUGUUAGUACUUGCCUAUAGAUAAAGGUAUUGUACUUGAAUCUUCACACACGAUCACUUCAUUCCUUUAUUUACUUUGGUAACACAGAUUUUGAGAGAUAUUAAAACUAAAGAAUAAUUGAAUAUGGCUUUGUGGGUUGAUGAUGCCAGCUCCAACGUGAGUGCAAUUAUCGCAUGUUUAAUUGCUCUAUUAGCCGUGGUCUAUUUCGUGUGGACAAGGAAAACAAAUGCUAAACUUCCACCAGGACCUCGCGGCUUGCCUGUAAUCGGAUACCUCCCGUUUCUCGGAACUACUGACUUGCACAAGACAUUCACGGAAUUAGCUGGUGUAUAUGGUCCAAUCUUCAAGCUCUGGCUUGGCAAAAAAUUGUGUGUAGUGGUGAGCUCACCUUCCCUAGUUAAACAAGUGGUUCGUGAUCAAGAUAUAACAUUCGCUAACCGCGACCCACCGAUAGCUGGACUCGUGGCCUCCUUUGGUGGCAAUGAUAUUUUAUUUCCCAAUUAUGGUCCUGAAUGGAGAAAGUUGCGCAAAUUAUUUGUGGGUAAGUUGAUGAGUAACGCAAGUCUUGACGCUUGUUAUGCUCUAAGAAAACAAGAGGUUAAAAAUAUAAUUAGGGAUUUGUAUAAUAACAACAAAACUGGCAUUGGCAAGCCCAUAGAUGUUGGUGAGUUGUCGAUCUCAACUUUUGUAUGUGUUAUACAGAACAUGCUAUGGGGUGAAGCUCUUGAGUUAAGAGAGAAAGGGAUCAGUAACCUUGGGGCUGAGCUAAAGUUUAAGCUAGCAGAACUCGUGGUGCUAAUGGGAACACCGAAUAUUUCGGAUAUCAUUCCGUGCUUCCAUGGCUUGAUAUACAAGGUAUAGAGAAGAGAACAAAGAAGAUUUCUCUAUGGUUUGAAAAUUUUAUCGAUUCUGCUGUUGAACAGUACAGAAACAAGGUCUCUGUUGUCGAAGAGGGAGGAGCAGGGAACAAUAUUGAAGGAAGGAAUAAAGACUUCUUACAGUUACUCUUGGAGCUUCAGGAAAAUGAGGACAGUGCUUCAUCAAUUAGCACGAUCCAAUUGAAGGCCUUGCUCGUGGUAUGUUGUGCCACUGCCACAAACUGUUGUACAAGCGCAGCUGUAUAAGUUAUGUGUUUUAGCUCAAGUUGUGGGCAUGGACAGCUGUGUUGAAGAAUUUCACUUGCCCAAAUUAAAGUACUUAGAUGCUGUGGUGAAAGAAACAUUUCGGCUGCAUUCUGUGCCCUAUUUAGUACCACGUAGGGCAAGCCAAAGUAGCAGCAUUGGUGGCUAUACUGUUCCUAAAGAUACAACGAUUAUAUUGAAUGUUUGGGCAAUCCACAGAGAUCCUCAAAUUUGGGAUAACCCCUUAGAAUUUGGACCAGAGAAGUUUUUUAAUGAUGGUAUUGCGAGCAAAUUUGAUUACUCGGGUAAAAAUUUUCAGUACUUGCCAUUUGGUUCUCGCAGAAGGAUGUGUGCAGGGAUUGCUCUGGCAGAGACGAUGCUGAUGUUUGUUCUGGCUUCAGUGUUGCACUCAUUUGAUUGGAAAUUGCCGGCAGGCACAAAGCUAGACUUACCUGAAAAGUUUGGGAUUUUGAUUAAGAAAAAGGAGCCUUUGGUUGCUAUUCCAACACCAAGACUACCCAAUUCAGAGCUCUACCAAUAAGACAAAUGGUUGUGAUGGUAUUGUAUCCCCAAUGUAUUGGAAGAUUUGUAUGUUAUUUCAAGUUCAAUCAUAAUAAGCAUAUUAAUAAAUGUCUUCAGGUUGUUAUUUUUUCACUGGCACAAUCUAUCAUCAUACUCGUGUUUUCGAGCUAUUGAUUUAUUUUUGAAUUGCAAUCUGAAAUAUAUAUACUUUAAAUUUCUUACAAGAUUUUAAAUUUAUAUACAUCUUCAACCCAAAAUCUCCCAAAAAUUCUAAAAUCCAAAAUUUUACAAAGCAUAGACCAAAAUUUUUAUACCAACUAAUUUUUUGAUUUAUUCUACACUUUCUAAAAGGAGAGAUGUUUACUCCAAUAUUUGGACUACAAUUAUAUCUAAGCUUAGGUGCCAAAUAAUAAAUUUAUAAGUAAAUUGGAUUUUUAACAUGGAGAGAGUUCUAAAACAACUUGCUUAAAGCAAAUGAACUGUCCAAUUAAUUCAAAUUUUCAAAAACAAAUCUUUAAACAUUCAACGGACAUUUUCACAAGCUCCUGGAAAGCACAAUGUAAAACCCAACAAAGAAUACAAAAAAUCUUUGAACUUUUCACAAGCUUCUUGAAGAGAUGCGACGUCGCUGCUUUGGUAACUCAGAAGGCUCAGAGAUCUUUGAGGAAAUCAUGGUUCGCUUUCUUUUUUAUCUUUCUUCCUAAUCCUUUCAAAUUGUGUGAAGGCCAAUAUAUCCAUGAAUCUAAAUCUCUGUAAAUUUGUUUUGCACAAAUUUGGAUAAUUAUUUUCUCCGUGCACAAUAUCUAUCACUGUAUCAGCUGUUUUUAUUUAUUUAUUUAUUUAUUUUUGGAGGGGGAGGCAGUUUAGAAGAGCUGGAGGGUGUUCUUGACAGAGCUCAAAUUUGUUGCGUGCUCGUUGGGUGGAUAUAUCCAUCAAAGAUAUCCCGUACAGUGACAUUUGUCGUGAUCAAAUUAUUAGUAGAUCAAUGAUUUCGACAUCUGUUUACUGUAAUAAAAUUUGUCACUAUACAUUGAUGUAAGUAUUUGAUGUGAUUUUCUAACUGCUACUGAUGGGAAACAGUUAGGAUGCGUUUGAGAUUGAGGUGUUAUAGUUUUUAAGCUAUAACUGCUAUAAAAAAAAAUUGUAAUUAUAAAAUAAAAAUUAGUAAUAUAGAGUAAAUAUAAUUUUCAAAUAAUAAUUUUGACAAAAUUAUUAAAGAUAUAAUAUAUUUUUUAUGAUAUAAGUGAAAAAUCACAUCAACAUAGCUUUCAAUCUACAGCAGCUAGUGUUUACCAAACACUUUGCUGUAGCUUUUAAGUUACAGCUGCCCAACCUCAAUCUCAAAUGCACCCUUAAUAGGUGAUUGAAUUUGUGGGAUAUAGAUUCCACAUAUCUUAUGACCUAGUAAUUAUACAAGUGGUUCGUGAUCAAGACACAACAUUUGCUUCCGGCCCGGUGACCCAGCAAUCGCUGCACUGGUCGCCACCUAUGGUGCCGACGAUAUUGCACGGUCCAAUUGUGGCCUUGAAUGGAAAAAGUUGAACAAAUUAUUUGUGGACACGAUGAUAAGUAACGCAAGCCUUGAUGCUAGUUAUGGUCGAAGAAAACAAGAGGUUAAGAACACUAUCAGAGAUAUGCAUAACAACAAAAAGGAAAAAAAAAAAAAAAAGGCAUUUGUAAGCCCAUUGAUAUUGGUGAAUUGUCGAUUUUUUUUAAUAUUAAAAUCAAGUCAAUUUAUUAUAAUAAAUUUAUCACAUGUUAAGUUUGCUGUAAUUGCCGUUGUUUUAUAUUAGUAGAAUAUUAGUGAUAAGAUAAUUGUAGAGUUUUCAUUUUUUUAAUAUUAAAAUCAAGUCAAUUUAUUGUAAUAAAUUUAGUUGAAUUUAAUCGUAUUACCACAUAAAUUGAAUAAUAAUAGAAUUCUCGACAAUAUUUCAAUAUUUUAAUCUCAAGCAUUGGAGUGGCAUUUAUUUGUUAUACGGUCGAUUUUAGAAUUUUUAAAAUUAUUCGUUACUGAAUUGCACCAUAUGCUGCAUCACCUGUGUAAAGUAACCAGUGAAAGCAAUUCAGAGACUUUGAAACGACUUGAGAAAGUGCGUUUCGGUGUGUAAACUAAAGCCAAGUGAAACGAUGUCAAGGAAUGUCGUUUUACUUAAGUGAAACACCUGAGACGCACGUGAAUGGAUUCGAAUGAAAGAAGCCGUUAAAGUCGUUGAUGAAGCAUGGCUUGCACGUGAGCAUCUGGGAUUAGUUUCCAGGAAGUUAUCAGCAACUGAAAGGAGCUGAUUCUGGUGCAGAUAGCUGGCUACAAUUUAUGAGUAUAAAAGGGGGGUUACUCCUGGGUUUAAGUGCAAGUAAUUUCCAUGAGAUACCAUCUGUAAUUCUCUGUAAUCUUGAGUUCAUUCAAUAAAAGCCUGAAGUCUUGUUCCUCCGUGGAUGUAAGCUAAGUGUUUUAGCUGAACCACGUUAAAACUUUUCUGUUCUUUAUUCUUUAGUUUAUUUCGAUUCCUUGAUUCUUAAACCAUUGAUUGUUUUGUUCAGUAGAAGUUCUUGGUUAAAUCUUUUUCAAGUCAUCUAUAGUCAAGCAUCUAGGAAUCUGAUCUUGGAUCUUGGGCAGAAGCUGAAGGUGUUUGAGCAAUUGAGUGCCCUUCAGGUUCUACAACCUGGAACUUACUAAACGGAACGUAGCGUUGGCACCGUUACUCAAUAUUCACUGUUACGACUUUGUGACAUUAGAAUUAAAAUCUUUUCCACAUUUAAUUUGUUUACUUCCAAAUUAAUAUUUAACAAAAUAUUUUUUCACAUUAUCAAUGGACAAAACUCCAACGAAAAUAACUAUACAAGAAAUUGUAUGCUAGCAUUGUAUGCCAUAUCAUCUGUAAUUUUGUCAGGAUCGAUCAUUCUAAUUUUUAAGCAGAACUUUUUGUCAAUUGACAAACACCUCACACAGCUUGUCAGAGGCAUUAUUAUGAUGUAAAAUUGUAAUGGUGUAUCUUGAAUUAUUGGUAGAAUAGUGAAUAACUAUUUGGAGCAAUAAAAACAAAUAAGACAGAUGAGAAAAUGGCUAAAAUUAUAUAAGUGACCCAAAAUUUUUUGUUAUUUCCAAGAAAUCCCCAAUCUGAAUGGACCAGAGGGAGGCAAGUUAGAAAUACAUUUCCUUCAUAGACAUUAACAACGAUGAGUGGAUGACAUCAAGCCACGUCGGUAUCAAUAUUGAAAUAAAGGUGCAAUAAAGAAAGUUUUUCUAUGGUUUGAACAAAGGUGGUUUUAAUGAGUAUUAUAGACCUCGAUUGAAUGUUCGAAUGUAUAAUAAAAGAGAAACUGUCACAUAAAUGACAAAGAUACUUGAAAAAAAAAAAAAGGGCAGCAAUAGAGAAUUAGAUCCGACUGCACAAAUAACUAGUUAAUUCAUCGAUACAUCAUUUUCUUGCUAGAAAAUGACAAUUAUGACAGCAAGCCACGAUAGUGUCAAUAUUGAAAUUGAUUUGCAAUUAUUCAGCCAAUGAUCCUUACACGUCAAGAUAAAAGUCAAGAAAAUGAAAGUUAAUAUCAAUUAAAACACUUCCUGGGCUGCAUUUAGCAGUUUCUAUGUGAAGUUAAAAAACAACGUUUCUUUUGUUUUGUGGGGGAUUCAACUGAGCACGCGCCACUAGCUAGCUGGCUUCUAGUUCUAGCAUAUGAAAACAGAAUACUAAAGAUUUCACUUUCACCUUUUUUUUUUCUUUUUUUGGGGGUUUUGAAUCAAAGUCAAGGUCGCACUGAAUAAUAUGUAAAAUUUGAAAAAGAAGAAUUAAUAGAGAACAAAGUUUUGUUUUAAAUUCACAUGGUGUGCAUCCAAUUCAACAAACACUUCCUAUAAUAAAUCUGGAGUUGUGUCCCACGUUGAACAAUAAAGGAAAGUCACCUAAAUAUACAUGUAGGAUAAGUUACUUUAUUUAGUAAGUUUGUAUUUUCUUCUUUCUUCUAGUUUACACAUAAAUUUGAUUAGAUAACUUAACACAUAUUCUAAUACUUGAUCAGAAGCCCUACGUACAGGUGGAUCUAGAAACUUGAUUUCUAAGAGUAAUACUAUAAUAAAAAAAUAAUGAUUCAUAGAACCAAUAUCAAAAUUUGUUUACAAGAUUACCCCCACUCAAAAGUAAUUUUCAUAGAAAUUAAUAGGAAAUUUAAUUGUUAGUGGGGUCAAAUUGCCCCCACACUCUGAAUGUAGAUCCACGCCCGACCCUGAGUCAAGUAUAUUUUGCCACAUAUACUCUGAAUGUCGGCAGGAAAAAUCUUCCACUUUAGUUUAAAAUUUUCACUUAAAAAUUAUUUAUGUUAAUAAAGUUCGUAAAGAAAAUAAGUUUAAUUAAUGAAUAUUAUAGGAGAAAUUAAAGGAAAUGAGUUUAAUUAAAGAAUAUUAUAGGAGAAAUUCUAUUGUUUGGCUUUUAAUAAAUUAAUUAAUAGGUUUAAAAAGAUUAAUAUACAUCAAAAUAUUAUUAGUUGGUGGUGGUUCCACAUCGGACUAAGACGUGGCACCUUACUUGUGAGAUUUAGACAAUCGGCUUAGACUAUUUAAAUAUGUUUGAAGCUUAGAUGGCACCGCUUCAAUUUGCAUUACUGAAUGUCAUUCUUUAUCCUAAUUACUACCGUAAUUGAUAACAUGCAAUUGAAAUAACUAAUAUUAGCACUUGGCUAUAAAUGAACUAAAGGCCGUGCAAUUGAAUCUUUACUUGAUCACUUCAUUUCUUUAUUUUGCUAACACAGAUUUUGAGAUAUUAAAACGAAAUAAUAAUUGAAUCUGGCUUUGUGGGUCGAUGAUGCCAGCAACAACGAGACCACAAUUAUCACUUGUUUAUUUGCUGUAUUUGACGUUGUUUCAUAUUGGUAGUAAUAAGGUCGUUGUAGAGUUUUUAAUCUUUUUAUAUUAAAGUUAAGUCAAUUUGUUAUUAAAAAAAAAAAUUGGUUGAGUUUAAUUAUAUUGCUAUGUACAUUAAAUAAUUAUAAUAUUUUCUAGGGAAAAAGACACCUAGAACCUCAAGGUUUGGGAAAAUGGUCACAAAAACUCCUAAGUUUUAAAAAAGGAACACUAAGAUCUUUUUUUAUCCAUAAUACCCUUUGACUAUAGUAAUUAAAAAAUUGACUUUAAAGGUUUUUAAAUAAUAUAAAUUUAAUAUAAAUCAUAUAAUCUAUCUAGUAAACUAAUAAUAUUAAAUUAUUUUUUAUAUUUAAAAUAAUGUUAAAUUUUAAAUUAUUAUAUUUAUUUUAAUAAUAUAUUUAUAAAAUUAUAAAGAUUUUAAAUAAAUCUUUGGAUUGAAUAUAUUUUACAAUUAAAAGUCUUCCUAUUAAUAAUAUUAAAAUUAAAUUUUACAUAAUAUAUAUUCAAAAUAUUUUUAAUUUAAUUUUAUUUAUUUUAAUAUUAUGUUUCUAUCUAUUAUUAAAAAUUACUUUAAUAUAAUAAAAUAGGUCUAAUAGAUUGAAAAAUAUGAAAAUAUUUUUAAAAUUUUAAAUUAUUUUGAAAUGUAUAUAUUAUUACAUUUAUUUCAAUGUCAUAUUUCCAUUUAUUAUAAAAUUUUGGGGUUAUUUUUUUGGGAAUUUAUAGAGUCAAAGAGCAUUAUGGUUAAAAAAGAGUCUUGGUGUCCCUUAUUGAAAACUUUGGAGUUUUUGUGACCAUUUUCUUAAAUCUUGGGGGUGUUGAAGUGGCAUUUACUUAUUGUAAGAUUGAUUUUAAAAUAUGUAAAAUUAAUUUUAUUACAUUACCAUAUGCUACAUCACCUGAAACUUAAUAAAUGGAACGUAGCAUUACUCCACGUUCACCGUUAUGACCUUAUGACAUUAGAAUUAAAAUCUUUCGUACGUUUAAAUUGUUUACUUCCAAAUUAAUCUUUCGUAAAUAUUUUGUAAAGAUCUUAUCGGAGUUAGCGUGUUCAUUACAGUGUUUCUUUUCUUUUGUCCUUUCUUUUGAAACGUAUAUCGUGUGGACAAGGAAAGCAAAUAAUACCCUGCCACCAAGACCUCGCGGCUUGCCUGUAAUCGGAUACUUCCAUUUCUCGGAAUUACUGACUUGCACAAGACAUUCACGGAAUUAGCUGGUCUAUAUGGCCCGAUCUUCAAACUCUGGCUUGGCAACAAAUUGUGUGUAGUGGUUAGCUCGCCUUCAGCUAGUUCUAUAAGAAUAUCCCUUUUAAAGGAUUCUCUCUCUGCAAAAUUUUUUUAUCUUCUGGUGCAUAAUAAAAACUUAUGCCACUUCAUUAACCACAGACAUCUUUUGAGGAAACGAUGUUUCGUUUUCUUUUGUUGUUGCCUUCCUAAUCCUCGCAUAUCGUGUGAAGGCUAAUAUAUCCAAGAAUCUAAAUCUCUGUAAAUCUUUUUCUAUCCAAAUCUACAUAAUAAUUUAAUCCAUGCACAAUAUCUAUAAUUAUAUCGGCUGUCGGCUGAUUUCGUGGAGGGGGCGGCAGUUCAAAUUUUUUACGUGCAUGUUGGAUGGACGUCUCUAUUAAAGGAGAGCCACCACUUGCAUGGUAAUUUUUUAAAAUAAAUAUAUACAUUUCAAAACAUUUUUUUGUUUAUUGUAUAGUUAACAUAUCUCCUUAGAUGUAUUUUAGAGCUUCUCCUAUUAAAGAUAAUCUCAUGCAGUGAUACUUCUCGUGAUCUAAUCAUUAGUAGAAUCUAUAAUUUCGCUACUGUAAUAAAAUCUGUCCCUACCCUAUAUGAAUGUAGAUAUUUGACGCGAUUUGUAAUUGCUUCCGACAGGAAAACAGCAAUAGUUUAAUUGAAAUUUGUGGCAUAGAUUCCACGAAUCUUAUGACAGAAUACUGACCACUCCAACCCCAUCCGCAUUUACACGAUUAAUACACAAGCUUAGGUGUGACAAUGCAUUUGUCACUUGUUCAAAUUCAUCCUGAAACACUAUACACUAAAUAAUCGAAUAUGGCUUCGUGGGUCGAUGAUGCUAGCAGCAACGAGACUGCAAUUAUCACUUGUUUUGUUGCUGUAUUUGUCGUGGUCUAUUUCGCAUGGAAUGAAAACAAAUCAAGUAAAGCAAAUGCUAAAUUGCCACCAGGACCUCGGGGCUUGCCAGUAGUCGGAUACCUCCCAUUUCUUGGAACUACUGACUUACACAAGACAUUCACGGAGUUAUCUGGAGUUUAUGGUCCGAUCUUCAAGAUUUGGCUUGGGAAUAAAUUGUGUGCAGUGGUGAGCUCGCCUGCCCUAGUUAAACAAGUGGUCCGUGAUUAAGAUACAACAUUCUCAAACGGCGACCCACCGAUCGCUGGAACUGUGACCACCUACGGUGGCAAUGAUAUUGCACUUUCCAAUUAUGGUCCCGAAUGGAAAAAGUUGCGAAAAUUAUUUGUGAGCAAGAUGAUGAGUAAUGCAACCCUUGAUGCUUGUUAUGCUCUAAGAAAACAAGAGGUUAAAAAUACUAUCAGGGAUUUGUACAACAACAAUAAGGAUAAUAUUGGCAGUGGCAAUGGCAAGCCCAUUGACGUUGGUGAAUUGUCGAUUUCAACUUUGGUACGUGUUAUGCAGAACAUGCUGUGGGGUCAAGCAUUGGAAACAAGAGAGAAAGAGAUUACUAAUCUCGGGGCUAAUCUUGCAGAACUCAUGGUGCUACUGGGAACACCAAAUAUUUCGGAUAUUUUUCCAGUGCUUUCAUGGCUUGACAUGCAAGGUAUAGAGAGAAGAGCUGAGAAGAUUUCUCUAUGGUUUGAAAAUAUUAUCAAUUCUGGUGUUGAACAGUAUAGAAACAAGUUUUCUGUUGUUAAAGGUGAAGAAGCUGCAGCAGGAAAAAAUAUUGAACGAUCAAGAAAUAAGGACUUCUUGCGGUUACUGUUGGAGCUUCAGGAAAAUGAAGAUAGUGCUUCAUCUAUUAGCAUGUGUGAAGGAAGCUCACUAUUCGAGCAAUUCAGUGAAGCCACAUCAGCAGAAGAUUAUAGUGAAAUAAAGGAGUUCAGCUGAGUUGGUUGAAAUGUCGUUAUACAGCUCAUAGUUCGUUAUGAAGAAUUAGUUAGUUACAUGUAGAAAUCACGUGUGAGAACUUUGUAUAUAAACGUGAGCUUGUAAACAAUAUCAAUUUAAUUGAAUACACUGGAAAUUUUUCAUAGUUUUAUUUUCUCAGAGAUUUUCCAUUAAACCAAACAGUCUAUCUCUGUUAUUUUACAGAUGAACCAACUAAAGGCCGUGCUCGUGGUAUGUUAAGCAACUAGACACAAAAAGUUGUAAAAUCACAGCGAUAUAUUUGCGCGAGGCCGCGAGUGAUGUUUUGCCUCGAGACCUCUCAAUUUUAUCUUACGGUAAAAAAUGUUUUUCAACUUUUUUUUUAAUUAGAAUUUUAUUGCAAUUUAUUUAACAGGACAUAAUUGUGGCCGGAACCGACACCACAACUACGAUGGUGGAAUGGACAAUGGCAGAGUUGAUGCAACAUCCACAAGUAAUGAAGAAAGUUCAAGAAGAAUUAGCUCAAGUUGUGGGCAUGGACAGUUGUGUUGAAGAAUAUCACUUGCCUAAAGUAAAGUAUUUAGAUGCUGUGGUGAAAGAAACAUUUCGUUUGCAUCCUGCGUUGCCCUUAUUGGUACCUCGCACGGCAAGCCAGAACAGCAAUAUUGGUGGCUAUACCAUUCCCAACGACACUAAUCUUAUGUUGAAUGUUUGGGCUAUUCACAGGGAUCCUCAACUUUGGGAUAAUCCCUUAGAUUUUCGACCUGAGAGGUUCUUGAAUGAUGAUAUCAUAAGCAAAUUCAAUUACUCGGGUAACAAUUUUCAGUACUUGCCAUUUGGUUCUGGUAGAAGGAUGUGCGCUGGCAUUGCUCUAGCUGAGAGGAUGUUGAUGCUUGUUCUGGCUUCGUUGUUGCACUUGUUUGAGUGGAAAUUGCCCCCGGGCACAAAGCUAGACUUAUCUGAAAAGUAUGGGAUUGUCAUGCGGAAAAAAGAGCCUCUGAUUGCUAUUCCAACACCAAGGCUACCAAAUUCAGAUCUCUACCAGUAAGAUCAAAAUGGUUGUUAUGAUAUUAUUUCCCAUUGUAUUGGAAGAUUUUUGUGUGAUUUGAAGUUCAAUCAUAAUAAAAUAUUUUAAUAAAAUGUCCUCGGUUGCUAAUUUUUCAAUAGUAUACUCUAUCAUCGUUUCUAACUGUCUUUUAGAGCCAUUUGGUCUAAUUUAUUUUUGAAUUAAAAUCCAUAAGUAUUUAAAUUUUUGAAUUAUAUUAGGAAUUAUCUGGAGUGUAUGGUCUGAUCUUCAAGCUCUGGCUUGAACAAAAAUUAUGCAUGGUCGUGUACACGCUUUCCCUAAUUAAGCAUGAGGUUCGUGAUCAAGGCACAACAUUCACUCCCUGCGACCCAACAAUCGCUACAUUGUUUGCCACCUAUAGUGCCAACGAUAUUGCACGGUCCAAUUAUGGUCCCCAAUCGAAAACGUUGCGCAAAUUAUUUCUGGGCAAGAUGAUAAGUAACGCAAGCCUUGAUGCUUGUUAUGGUCUAAGAAAACAAGAGGUUAAAAAUACUAUCAGAGAUAUAUAUAAAACAACAACCGAAAAAAUUGAGCAAAUCAUGUGUAGGCAAGAUGACAAGUAACGCAAGCCUUGAUGCUUUUUAUGGUCUAAGAAAACAAGAGGUUAAUAUAUAUAUAUAUAUAUAUAUAUAUAAAUUGGCAUUGUCAACUUUAGUAUGUUUUAUUCAGAACCCGCUGUGGGUUGACGCUAGCAUGCUUGCGUUAGGAGACGAGGGGACCAAUCUUGGGGCUGAGCUAAAAUAUAAGCUUGUAGAGAUCAUCUUGCUAAUGGUACUGUUUUCCGAUGCUGGUUUAAUUCAUGGUAUAAAAAGGAGAACAAAGAAGAUUUUUCUAUGCUUUGAAAAUAUUAUAAUUUUUAGUUUAUAAUUUUUAAUAAAAUCUCUCAUUAAUAGCCAAACAACUAAAAUUUUUGUAAAGCUUUUGUGGACUUUUGAUCGCGUAUGGUGCCAAUGUAUUGCGCGGUCCUAUUAUGGUUCCAAAUGGAGAAAGUUGCACAAGUUUUUUGAGUACCAGAAGAUCAGUAAUGUAAGCCUUGAUGGUUGUUAUGGUCUAAGAAAACAAGAGGUUAAAAAUUCUAUCUGGGAUUUUUAUAACAACAACAAAAUUGGCAAGCCCAUUGACAUUGGUGAAUUGUCAGUUUCAACCUUGGUAAGUGCGAUUCAGAACAUGCUGUGGGGUGAAACGCUUGAAAUAACAAAGAAAUGGAUUUACUAAUAUUGGGGCUGGGCUAAGAUUUAAGCUUGCAGAACUCACGGUGCUAGAGGGAACACCGAAUAUUUUGGAUAUCUUUCCAGUGCUUUCAUGGUUUAAUAUACAAGGUUUUCAGAGAAUAGCAAAGAAGCGUUCUCUAUGGUUUUAAAAUAUUAUCAAUUAUACUGCUGAACGCUAUAGAAACAACGUCUCUAUUGUCAAAAGUGAAGAAGCAGCAGCAGCAGGGAACAAUUUUGAAGGAAGGAAUGAGGACUUGGUGCAGUUACUCUUGGAGCUUCAAGGUAAAGAAGACAAUGCUUCAUCAAUUAGCAUGACGCAAUUUAAGAGCUUGCUCGUGGUAUGUUGCGCAACUAGCCACAGACAGUUACAGAAACUGAGUUUGGCAGAUUACGACCAUUUCUGGUGAUUACAUAAUUAUUUGUGGCUGUUUUUUUUUUUAAUUGUAAUUUUCUUAACAGGAUAUAAUUUAGGGUGGAACCAACACCACAACUAUAAUGGUGGAAUGGACAAUGGCAUAAUUGAAACAGCAUCCACAAGUAAUAGAGAAUGUACAGGUAGAACUAAAUCGGGCCGUGGCCAUCGACAGCCAUGUUGAAGAAUUUCACCUACCUAAGUUAAAAUAUUUAGAUGCUGUGGUGAAAGAAACAUUCUGCACUGUAAUAUAAUACAUGAAUCAUAUGUCCUCUAUUGUUUUUUUAUUUUUCUCUUUUUUUCAAUAGCUUAAUCUAUCAUUAAAAUCUUCUGAAAUUCUAAAUUAAUAUACAUUCAACCUAGAGUUCAAGCCAAAGUUUUAUUGAGCAUUAAAAAAAAUAUAUCUACGACAAAAAAUUUUGCGGAGUAUAAAUUAAAAAUUAUGCGCCUACUAAGAGACAAAAAAUAAAUGAUACACAUUAACCAAUCAAAGGCGAACAAGAGAUUAUUAACAAUAACCUAAUAAUAAAAUUGUAAGGAAUAAAAAAGAAAUGGUACCUAGAAACACAUCACAGCCAUUUAAGCAAUCACUUACCCAUAAAAUCCAAACAUAUAAACUUGGGGGGGGGGGGGGGUCAUGAUACCUUUGGGUUUCAUGAUAAUCAAAAUUGCAAUACCAUUAAAGACUCAAAAAUAAAAAAAAAUCAUAGCCAAUAAAAGAGAAAAAAUAACCCACAAAAAAUCAUCAAGAAAAUAAAUUUGAGAGUAAGAGAAGAUAUUAAUUAAACCCUGGGUUGCCUUGGAACCACGGCUUUGGCUUCCAUUUUUCAAUUCUUGGCGACAAAUAAUUUCUUGUUUGUUUACAAAGAUGACGGCUGAUUAAUGAAGCUCUAUUAACAAUGAAUGAAUCAAAAAACUGGCGCCUUGAAAAGACUAACGGUCAUAUUUUUCAACUCCGAAUUAGUGCCGUUUGAUGAGUCCUUGCCAAAACAAUCACUCGGCAAAUAACAAUCAUUUUUCAACCAGCAAAACUCAUUCAUUGUAUUUCACCUUAGUCAAGAUUUAAAAAUUGUUUCAAAAUAAGCCUAGUGGUUAGAACCCAAGCGUCACAAUUUUGAGGUCAUGGGUUUGAGCCCCCACAACGUAUUGUGGGGGUUAAUUUUCUUCUUCAAUUUGAGUGAAAAUAGUUCUCUCCCUUUCAAAAUGUGGGUGGAUUGGACGUCCCUCAAAUAUUAGAGAGGGUUAAAAUUUGGAUUGUACUAUAUAAGAUUUAUAAAUUAGUCUCAGUAAUUGUCUGAUUGUAAAUAUCAAUAUACUAAUCUAAUUAAAUAUGAGUUGUAAUAUGAGCGUUAGUCUCAUGUAAUUAAAAAAAAAUUGUUUCAAAAUAGGAUUCUUAAAAUGUUGGGGAAAUGGCCAUCAAUAUCCCCAACUUUCCAAAAAGAGACACAAAGACCCAUUUUGACCAUAAUACCCUUUACUUCUAUUAUCCCCAAAAAAUUGACUCUAAUGUUUUAUAAUAAAUAAAAAUAUAACAUUAAAAUAAAUGUAAUAGUAUAUACAUUUUAAAAUAGUUUCAAUAUUUAAAAACUAUUUUAAUAUUUUAAAUCCUAUUAUAUAUAUAUAUAUUCAAGUAAAUUUUAUAAUAAAUAGAAUCAUAAUAUUGAAAUAAAUGCAUUAAAAUUUAAAUUAUUUUUAAUAUUAUGUAAAAUAAUAAUUUUAUCAUUAUAAGUAUAUGAGAAUUUUUUUAAUUGUAGAAUGUAUUUAAUGCAAAUAUUUAUUUAAAAUCUCUACAAUAAAUAAAAAUAUACUAUUAAAACAAAUCUCUACAAUAUAUACAUACAUACAUAUACAUUGGCCUGGUAUUUUAUUUUUCAUUUUUAAACUUAUUAAAUCCUCUAACUAUCAUUUGAUUUUUUUUUCAAUGAUGAAGAGGCCAUUGCCGGAUAAAUUAUUAAUAUCAACUAGUUCUACAAGAAUGUCCCUUUUUAAAGGAAGAUCAUUCUCUCUCUCGAAAUUUUUUAUCUUGUGCUACAAACUAAAAACUUAUGCCAUUUCAUUAACCACAGAGAUCUUUGAGGAAAUGAUGCUUCGCGCCCCCCCCCCCCGGCGGCGCCAAAAAGUGUCCUUCGAUAUUUUGUGAAGGCUAAUACAUCGAUGAAUCUAGAUUUCUUUAAAUUUUUUGUUUUACUCAAUUCGAGAUAAUAAAUAGUUUAUCUUUAUUAAAUCUUUACUUUAACAAUGAUAGAUAUUCAAUCCAUGCAAAUAUCUAUCAUUGUAUGAGCUGAUUGCGUGGAGGGAGCGGUAAUUGAAAUCUAAUUGAAAACAGCAGAAGGCUGUUCUUGACAGAUCUCAAAUAUAUUACGGACACGUUGGGAGACAUCUCUAUCAUAGAUAUCCCCAUGCAGUGAUAUUUGUCGUGAUCUAAUUUUUAGUAAAUCUGUAAGAGAGAUUGUAACAUCUUUCAAGUUUUUGGUUUGAUAUUCUGGACGAAAACAGUUUGCCGUUUCUUGAGCAAACGGCUAACCGUUUAAGUCCAGAGACCAUAUUUGCUGUUCUAGAGAAAACGGCUCACCGUUAUUGAGAAAACGGCUAACCGUUUAUUUACAGAGAGCAACGUAUUUAAUAUUCUGGAAUAAAACGGCUCACCGUUUAUUGAGAAAACGCCUAACCGUUUAUUUUCGGAAAGGCGUCAAUUAGAAAAACGGUUAGCAAGAAUGAAAAUUUCAAUUGACAAUCGAUGCAAAUUCAAACCAAAAGAGUGUCUUCGAAGAAGUACCAUUUCUAAUGGUUGUAUUCCUUCAAAUAAACAUCUUCUUCAUUAAAGAAAUACACACAAUUAGAUAGAUAAUCAGAUUUUGACAGGUUUCUUAUAUGUUCUGGAAAUACAAUCUUAUUUGCUAGAGAUUGUAUUCAAGAUUUGUUAUAUCUUGGGGGUAAUUUGCCAUUAAAACUAUAUAGCAAACCAAGAUUGGUGAGGGCAAAUAAAACCUUAAAGGAAAGUAUGCAAACACGUCUCAAAUCCUAUGAAACUUUCUUUGUUCUUUGCCUCCAUAUUCUUAUUAUUCACUAACAAAAUCCCCAUGCAGUGAUAUUUGUCGUGAUCUAAUUAUUAGAAAAAUCUAUGAUUUCGCUACUGUAAUAAAAUUUGUCACUACUCUACAUUAAUCUAAAUGUCUGAUGAGAUUUGUAAUUGCUUCCGACGGGAAAACAGUUAAUAGGUUGAUUGAAUAUAUGUGGUAAAGAUUCCACGUAUCUCACGACAGAAUGCUGACCACUGGAACCCUAUCUACUUUUACGCGAUUAAUUCACGAGCUUAGGCACGACAAUUGCAAUACAAAUUAUCCCCUCAUCAUAUAUUUCGUUAAAAUUCAUUCUGAAGCAGUAAAACUAAACAAUCGAAUAUGGCUUUGAGGGUCGAUGAUGCCAGCAGCAAUGAGAGUGCAAUUAUCACUUGUUUAGUUUCUGUGCUUGCCGUGGCUUAUUUCGCAUGGAAUGUGAAAAAAUCAAGGAAAGCAAAUGCUAAACUGCCACCAGGACCUCGCGGCUUGCCUGUAGUCGGAUACCUCCCAUUUGUCGGGACUACUGACUUGCACAAGAAAUUCACGGAAUUUAUUUUACUAUUAUAUUUAUAUUCAAAAUAAUUUUAAUUAGCUUUUAAAAUUAAUGAUUUUAGGAAAUUAUAAAUAAAGGUAACUAAGAAUUCUCUUAAUGUAAUAUAUUAUUAAUUAGUUUAAAAAUACAAAUUUAUUAAUUAGAGAAAUUAUUAGUGAAUUUAAAUUAAUGAUCUUAAUGAUUUGUUUGUACGAUUGCCCCCAAUCAAAGGUAAUUUUCCUAAAAAUUAUUAGGAAAUUAGAGAAAUUUAAUUUUUUAGUGGGUUCAAUUGCCCACACACCCCGACUGAAGCAUGUUUUACAAUAUGUACUCCGUUUGUCGGCAGGAAAAUAAAGGUCUUGACACAUGAUCACUUCAUUCCUUUAUUUACUUUGCUAACGCAGAUUUUGAGGUAUUAAAACAAAUAAUAAUUGAAUAUGACUUUGUGGGUCGACGACGCCAGCAACGAGGAGACCGCCAAUUAUCACAUUUUAAGUUUGCUGUAAUUGCCGUUGUUUUAUAUUAGUAGAAUAUUAGUGAUAAGAUAAUUGUGGAGUUUUCAUUUUUUUUAAUAUUAAAAUCAAGUCAAUUUAUUAUAAUAAAUUUAGUUGAAUUUAAUCAUAUUACCACAUAAAUUGAAUAAUAAUAGAAUUCUCGACAAUAUUUCAAUAUUUUAAUCUCAAGCAUUGGAGUGGCAUUUAUUUGUUAUACGGUCGAUUUUAGAAUUUAUAAAAUUAUUCGUUGCUGAAUUGCACCAUAUGCUGCAUCACCUGGAACUUAAUAAACGGAACGUAGCGUUGGCACCGUUACUCAACAUUCACUGUUACGACUUUGUGACAUUAGAAUUAAAAUCUUUUCCACAUUUAAUUUGUUUAUUUCCAAAUUAAUAUUUAACAAAAUGUAUGUUAGCAUUGUAUGCCAUAUCUGAUGGGUGUCGAAGCCAACAAAAAUAAAUUCCUACUCUAAAUAAAUUGUGUAUAGUGAUUGAGCAGGGUCGUGUCCACAGAGAUCGGUAAUUAUUUAAAUCCUUUUGAAACGUAAAACGUAAAAUGGGGGAAUUGUUGACAAUAAUAAAAAUCAAAUUAAAAAUAACAAGAAUGCAAAUUAAAGUUGUAAUUCAAAUUGGAGAAAGCUCUGGUUGAAGGAAUUAACUCAGCUUGAUUCGACUACUGAUCAUUGAUUCAAAUAUAAAUUAUUAUUACUCAUGAAUAGACCGGUUAUAGCUACUGAGACCCUCUAAUAGCCAAUCUCUCCUUAACUAGUCGAUAACCAAGGUACGACCGUUGGUUAUUUCCCUAAUCAAUAGACAACCCUAGAUACGAUCAUAGAAUUUAAUCAAUUGACAGCCUAAAAAACCAGAGAGACCCAAAUCCUAAUCAACACAUAUGAUGAUUCAUUUAAAUUAGAUUGUUUAUUCUCACAACACAACUCUCUGCUAUGUUAUUUGUCACAAACAUUAAAUUCUUUAUACGAUGAAUCCUUUAAUUGACAAUAGAUUAAGUUGAUAAUAAAAUAGUGGCCAAUUACCUAAUUAACAAACAUAAUCAUGAAAAUAAUUCAGAGAAUAAACAAAUACCCAAAAAGUAAUAAAACAAUUAAAGCACAAGAAAGAUCUCACAGUAGUGAUGAAUCAAAGCUUCAUUAACCUUCAACCAGAAAAAUGGGUUUAGUUCCUCAUAGAGAGAAGAGAAAAAUUAGAUCUAGGGUUUUUUUUUUCUCCAAUCCAAAAAUCCCCCCUUUUUCACAAUUGAUUCCUCCCUUAAAUACUCUCUCUCUCUUCUCUUUUAGAGUUCUAUUUAAAAUAAAAUACUAAUAUCUAAAAUAUUAAAUUCGUAAUUACAAAAAUAGCCAAAAAUAUAAAACACGUUAAACUAAAAACUGCAGGUCCGCAAUUGACAGCACGCGCCCACGCCUUAUCAACAAAGUUCUUCUGCCGCUCAUAAUUUUCUCCAAGGGAACAAUCAUCCCUAAACAUCAUCUUGUAGCUCAAUUUUAUCACCAAUCAAUAGAAUUGCACCUACAAAAGUAAAUCACAGGUAAAUCACUAUUAUUAAAUGCAAAACAUCGAUAUUAAGGGAAGUAAACAAUGCAAAACUAGUGCAUAAAUUACACUCUAACAAAUUCCCCCACACCAAGAUGAUGCUUGUCCUCAAGCAUAUAACUCAAGAUUAAUCUCAAAUUUCCACUCAAUUCUCAUCUCAACUCAUCCAAAAACAAUUUUAAGCAAGCAUACCUCAAGAAAUUAAGUCGUUCAACGUUCGAGAGACAAGGAUUUUAAAGCAUAGAAUUUCGUAAGAUAGAAUAAGAACAUUCAACCACCAAGAAGAUCCAUUCAAAACUCAAGUGCAGCAAGAUUUAAUAGCCCUCUCAAUAACUUCACUCCAUGCACUCAAAGUGUUUAGGGUGUCAUUUAUCCACUCAAAUCAAAUCAAAGAAUGCUAUUACCAUAAGCUUGCUCAUAUAUCACAUCUCAAUUAGAGAUGGCAAAACCCCGGGCCGGGUCCGGGUAUUGCCAUGACCGGACCCUGCCCGGAUGCAACCGGUCCGGGUCCGGGUCCGGGCCGGGUUUUAAUCCGGGUACCCGGAUUUUAUAUUUUUUAAUAUUUUAUGUGUAUAUAUUUUUUAUUUUUUGAUAAUUUUAUAAGUUUUAAAUUUAUUUCAAUAAAAUUUGACAUGAAAAUAUAAACUUUAAGUGUUUAAAACUUUAUAUAUGUAUAAUAAAUAAGUCAAAUAAAUAUAAAAUAUUUAAAAAAAUAUAUAUUUUAUAAUUUUUUUUAAUAAAAUCCGGGUUCCGGGUACGGUCCGGGUCCGGACCGGGCGGGUAUUUUUGCCACCUCUAAUCUCAAUCCACAAAACAUGAAUAAAAUGCAAAAAUCUAAGGGUCUUAAAAGGGUUGUAAUGGGGUUAAAUUGGAGAAAUGAAAAAGAAAGGUUUAUGAAAGAAAAAGAGAUCAAAAUGAGAAGAAUGAACUCAUUGAAUGAACUUAUGAUAUCAAAAUGCUUAUUUCUACUCAAGUCACCAAGAAUGUAAAUUUUUUUUUUUCGAUUUUUCUUUUUCUUUUUCUUUCUUUUUUUUUUUUGAUGAAUCAAACAAAAGAAACGAACCUUGCACAAUUUAAUUCAAGCAUAAUGCUUGUUGAUCUAAUUGAGAAACUUUAAUACAAGGUAGAAAAAGCAACAAAAUAUAUCCACACAAUGAGUCCAAAAAUCUCCUUAAAUUGAGGCUCAAAAAGAAGAAAAAUGGUUAAGUCGACGGAGAGAAUUAGAUGGGUAAUGGUUAAGGCUCAAACAAAGGUAGCAAAUAAAGGUCUUCGGGUAGAGAAGGAAAAAAAAAAUGCGAGAAUAGAAAAAUGGAAUAUGGUUUGCCCUUAUCAUUUUAAUGCAUAAAAUCUCGUAAUGUGGCUUCAACAUGCAUAACAAAGCAAGUUCUAGAAUAAACAAACUAGGAUUGAUAUUCACAUAACAAAAAUAAUUAGAGCAAAGUGGUUGCUCAUAGGCUCAAAUCCUCACAAAGUUGGUAAAUUUGCCAUCAAAUCAUGUACACUCUUCAAAUGAAUCAACCAUCAAUAGUGGUGUAGAAUGAGAAGAAGGUAUGAGUGAGAUAUAAAAGGAAAGGUAAAAAUGAUAAGAAGUGAGAAAUAUGUAUGUAGUAAUAUGAAAAGUGAAAGAUAAAAUGUGAGUGAUGAAAGAGUAUGAUAGAAUAAAAAUAGAUGUAAAUAAUUUGAGAUAGAUGGGAAAAGAGUAGUGAGAGAGAGAGGAAAAGAAAAUUAAUAAUAUAUGAAGCAUACUGCCAAAAUCAUUUAAGGAUGAGUAGAGUGAAAACAAUAAUUCCAGACAUCAAUAAUGCAAAAAUCCCUCCCCCACACUAAGAACUGACAUUGUCCCCAAUGUAAGAUAAUCAAAGCUCACAUAAAAAUUAAAGCGUAAGGAUAAAAGAUUAAGGGCAAAAACUUCCCUGAAUUGUGAGCUUUGAUCCUCAUAACGUCUAUGGGCUUGGCGGGAAUGGUGGGAUAAAUCCCACACUCUUGAAGUAUGCGGCCAAAUUCUGCUCCAUCUUGUCACGGAUUUCGAUUCACGGGCCUGGAAUGCAGGUCGUAGGCUGGUUGCGUUGCGAUUGCUGCUCGGCUGGAGCUUGCUUGAUGGACGCGGGAUGGCACUGAUUGUGUUGCGCGCGCGCGCUGGGGCUGCUGGAUCUGCGCGCUGCGUGGGCUGUGUUGUGCGCGAGAGCUGGGCUGACGCUGGUGCUGCGUUGCGUUGCGCGCGCGGGACUGAUGCGCUGCGUGAUGGUGAUGGCUAGAGCUUGCUGCGUUGCGCGCGGCUGGUUUCGCUGGUGGGACUUCGUUGCGCGCUGCUGGGCUGCGAGACACGGGAUGCUGGUGCUUGCGCUCACGGGAUGGUGCGUAUUCCGGCGGGCUGGUUUGCUGCUGGUGUGCUGCAAGCGGCUGGAGAAGAAAACAAGUUCUAGAAAAUUAGGGAUUUUGUGAACAGUGAAUAGUGAACAGUGAUUUUCGAUUUUUGGUUUUUUUUAUAAUAAAUAAAUAAAUAAAAAGAAAGAAAGGAACGAAAAAAGAAAAAUUUUUUUUUUUUUUUUUUAGUGAUGAAUCACUUUGAGACACUAAAAAUUUCAGAAGUACUUUUCUAAUAAGUACAUGGGCACGCCUUAUAAAAAAUUUUCUUCUGACCAAAAUAAGCAAACACAUUAAAUUUCAGAAGUACUUUUCUAUUAAGUACGUGGGCACGCCUUAAAACUAUGUUACUUUAAAAAUUACAGAAGUACUUAUUAGCUAAGACGUGGGCACGCCUUAUCAAAAAUUUUCUUCUGACCAAAAUAAGCAAAAUUUUUCUUUUUUUUUCUUUUUUUUUUGAAUCAAAAUUAAAAGAAGAUAUAACAAAAACCAAAACAAACAAAUCAUUUGGGUUGCCUCCCAAAAAAACGCCUUUGUUUUAUGUCUUUGGCUAGACACAUUUAUGCAUCAAUCUCCAUAAUUGGGACUCUCGAGAGCCACAUCCUCCACAAUAUUCACCGAAAAACCUUCAUAAAAAGGUUUUAAGCGAUGACCAUUAACCUUAAAAACUUUGUCAGAGGUCGGGCUCCGAAUCUCAACUGCACCAUAAGGAAAAACAUUAGUAACAAUAAAAGGUCCAACCCAGCAAGAUCGUAAUUUACCCGGAAAAAGUUUAAGCUUAGAAUGAAAAAGAAGAACUUUUUGACCAACAGAGAACUCUUUUCUCAAAAUCAUUCUAUCAUGAAAUGUCUUCGUUUUUUCCUUGUAACAAACUUCCUGCACUAUAGGGUUAAUAACAUCCACAGAAAAUACUGAAUGUUCCUCACUAGGAUAUUUCAUGGCAUCAUUCAUAUUGAAUUCUAUAACCUCUCCAUCAAAUUCCAUAGUGAGAGUCCCUUUAUGUAUAUCCAUUUUAGUCCUAGCAGUCUUAAGAAAAGGUCUUCCUAGCAAAAUUGGGAUAGAAUUAGAGGAGUUAUCAUCUUCCAUAUCAAGUACAUAAAAAUCAGCAGGAAAAACCAACUCAUUAACUUGUACUAAGACAUCUUCUAAUACCCCAUCAGGAUAUGCAUUAGACCUAUCAGCUAGUUGAAUUAUCACACCAGUUUCUUUUAAUGGACCAAUAUUCAAAGAUGAAUAAAUGGAACGAGGCAUAACAUUAAUAGAAGCUCCUAGAUCUAACAAAGCCUUUUCAACUCUAACACUACCAAUUUUACAAGGGAUAGUAAACAUACCUGGAUCCUUGCACUUAGGAGGUAGUUUCUUUUGAAGAACUGCUGAAACAUUCUCCCCCAUGUGAACUUUUUCAUCUCCUCUUAAUUUUCUCUUGGAGGUGCACAGUUCCUUAAGGACUUUAGCAUAUCGAGGUAUUUGUUUUAUAGCAUCUAAUAAAGGAAUAUUUAUCUCAACCUUGCGAAAUGUCUCAAGGAUGUCUUUCUCUUGUUCCUCCUUCUUGGAUUUUGCAAAUCGGCUUGGAAAAGGAGGAGGUAUCACAAUAGGUAGGGGUUUCGCUUUGGUGGGUUGCGCAUCUUGAGAUUUAGGCAUCAAUUCAUUCUUCUCAAGCUCAUCCUCUACAUGCUUUGUCACUUUCUUACUAGGCUCUUGCAACUCCGUCCCACUUCUAAGGAUGACAGCACUAACGUUUUGCUUUGGAUUCACCUCAGAUUGUGAAGGCAAUCUUCCUAAUACUUGAGACUCCAGGCUUACUGUAGUCGCCAAUUGACUCAUUUGGUUCUCCAAGUUCUGAAUGCUUACUGUAGUUGCCUGCUGAAAUUGUUGAGUGUUAGUUGCAAGUGAUUUAACAAUUUCUUCAAGAGAUAUACCUGACUUAGAGUUUGACUGUGGAGGUGUUGGUUGUCUUGGUGGAUACUGUUGUGGGAAUCCUGACGGCCUAACUCCAUAGCUGAAGUUGGGAUGAUCCUUCCAUCCCGGAUUGUAUGUUUGUGCAUAAGGAUCAUACCUCCUCUGAGGCAUGCCUGGAAAUCCUCCAACUGCAUUGGCUUGUUCAGCGGGUUCUUCUUGAAGUGUAGGACACAUAUCAGUUGAAUGACCCAUAUUGUAACAAAUGCCACAAGUCUUCACCUGUUGCACAUUACCUACAACAAACUUUUCCACAAGAGAAGUGAGUUUAUCUAAACGUUGUUCAACAGAAGAAAUAUUUACCUCAUUCACAUUCCUUAAGGUGGCAUCUUGUCUGCUGCCAAAUUGUUGUGCAUUGGCAGCCAUAUUUGAUAUCAACUCCCUUGCUUGAGUAGGAGUCUUGUUCACCAACACACCUCCACUAGCAGCAUCUAUCAUACUCCUAUCCAUCAAUGAUGGUCCUUCGUAAAAAUAUUGAAUAAGAAGUUGAUCAGAAAUCUGAUGCUGAGGACAACUGGCACACAAUUGUUUGAAUCGCUCCCAAUACUCAUACAAAGUCUCCCCAGGAAGUUGUCUGAUCCCACAAAUAUCUUUUCUGAUGUUGGCAGCUCUUGAAGCAGGAAAGUACUUCUCGAGGAACUGCUUCUUCAAACCAUUCCACGUUGUAAUCGAUCCAGGAGGCAAGUAGUACAACCAAUCUUUAGCUAGCCCAUCUACAGAGAACGGAAAAGCACGCAGCUUAAUCUGCUCUUCAGUCACGCCUUGUGGCCUCAUACUUGAGCACACAACAUGAAACUCCUUGAGAUGUUUAUGAGGAUCUUCACCUCCAAGUCUACAUAUUGAAUGCAGAGUGGUUGUUGAUUCAAGUCUGGUUCAGCUAACUCUCUAAGAGUUCUUUCUACAGGUGCAAGUCUAUCCAUCACUUGUUCUUCUGAAUCGCUAGAUGAUUCAACUAAAUCAGGCACUGUAUCUGUUUUAGAAAGCAAAGGCGACGAGGAUCGUUGCUUAGCUCGCUUUGUCUGCUGUCUCAGCUGGCGAGCUGUCUUCUCAAUUUCAGGAUCAAACGAAAGUGUACCUGUACGAGAAGAACGAACCGUACACCAAGUAAAACGUAAAAAGGAUUAAAUAAAUGACACCAAUCCCCGGCAACGGCGCCAAAAUUUGAUGGGUGUCGAAGCCAACAAAAAUAAAUUCCUACUCUAAAUAAAUUGUGUAUAGUGAUUGAGCAGGGUCGUGUCCACAGAGAUCGGUAAUUAUUUAAAUCCUUUUGAAACGUAAAACGUAAAAUGGGGGAAUUGUUGACAAUAAUAAAAAUCAAAUUAAAAAUAACAAGAAUGCAAAUUAAAGUUGUAAUUCAAAUUGGAGAAAGCUCUGGUUGAAGGAAUUAACUCAGCUUGAUUCGACUACUGAUCAUUGAUUCAAAUAUAGAUUAUUAUUACUCAUGAAUAGACCGGUUAUAGCUACUGAGACCCUCUAAUAGCCAAUCUCUCCUUAACUAGUCGAUAACCAAGGUACGACCGUUGGUUAUUUCCCUAAUCAAUAGACAACCCUAGAUACGAUCAUAGAAUUUAAUCAAUUGACAGCCUGAAAAACCAGAGAGACCCAAAUCCUAAUCAACACAUAUGAUGAUUCAUUUAAAUUAGAUUGUUUAUUCUCACAACACAACUCUCUGCUAUGUUAUUUGUCACAAACAUUAAAUUCUUUAUACGAUGAAUCCUUUAAUUGACAAUAGAUUAAGUUGAUAAUAAAAUAGUGGCCAAUUACCUAAUUAACAAACAUAAUCAUGAAAAUAAUUCAGAGAAUAAACAAAUAUCCAAAAAGUAAUAAAACAAUUAAAGCACAAGAAAGAUCUCACAGUAGUGAUGAAUCAAAGCUUCAUUAACCUUCAACCAGAAAAAUGGGUUUAGUUCCUCAUAGAGAGAAGAGAAAAAUUAGAUCUAGGGUUUUUUUUUUCUCCAAUCCAAAAAUCCCCCCUUUUUCACAAUUGAUUCCUCCCUUAAAUACUCUCUCUCUCUUCUCUUUUAGAGUUCUAUUUAAAAUAAAAUACUAAUAUCUAAAAUAUUAAAUUCGUAAUUACAAAAAUAGCCAAAAAUAUAAAACACGUUAAACUAAAAACUGCAGGUCCGCAAUUGACAGCACGCGCCCACGCCUUAUCAACAAAGUUCUUCUGCCGCUCAUAAUUUCUUCAAGGGAACAAUCAUCCCUAAACAUCAUCUUGUAGCUCAAUUUUAUCACCAAUCAAUAGAAUUGCACCUACAAAAGUAAAUCACAGGUAAAUCACUAUUAUUAAAUGCAAAACAUCGAUAUUAAGGGAAGUAAACAAUGCAAAACUAGUGCCUAAAUUGCACUCUAACAAUAUCAUCUGUAAUUUUGUCAGGAUCGAUCAUUCUAAUUUUUAAGCAGAACUUUUUGUCAAUGGACAAACACCUCACACAGCUUGUCAGAGUUGUCCAUGCUGGCAACAGCGUNNNNNNNNNNNNNNNNNNNNNNNNNNNNNNNNNNNNNNNNNNNNNNNNNNNNNNNNNNNNNNNNNNNNNNNNNNNNNNNNNNNNNNNNNNNNNNNNNNNNNNNNNNNNNNNNNNNNNNNNNNNNNNNNNNNNNNNNNNNNNNNNNNNNNNNNNNNNNNNNNNNNNNNNNNNNNNNNNNNNNNNNNNNNNNNNNNNNNNNNNNNNNNNNNNNNNNNNNNNNNNNNNNNNNNNNNNNNNNNNNNNNNNNNNNNNNNNNNNNNNNNNNNNNNNNNNNNNNNNNNNNNNNNNNNNNNNNNNNNNNNNNNNNNNNNNNNNNNNNNNNNNNNNNNNNNNNNNNNNNNNNNNNNNNNNNNNNNNNNNNNNNNNNNNNNNNNNNNNNNNNNNNNNNNNNNNNNNNNNNNNNNNNNNNNNNNNNNNNNNNNNNNNNNNNNNNNNNNNNNNNNNNNNNNNNNNNNNNNNNNNNNNNNNNNNNNNNNNNNNNNNNNNNNNNNNNNNNNNNNNNNNNNNNNNNNNNNNNNNNNNNNNNNNNNNNNNNAGGCAUUAUUAUGAUGGAAAACUGCAAUGGUAUAUCUUGAUUAUUGGUAGAAUAGUGAAUAACUAUUUGGAGCAAUAAAAACAAAUAAGACAGAUGAGAAAAUGGCUAAAAUUAUAUAAGUGACCCAAAAGUUUUUACUAUUUCCAAGAAAUCCCCAAUCUGAAUGUACCAGAGGGAGGCAAGUUAGGAAUACAUUUCCUUCAUAGACAAUAACAACGAUGAGUGGAUGACAUCAAGCCACGUUGGUAUCAAUAUUGAAAUAAAGGUGCAAUUAUUCAGCCAAUGAGCCUUAGUACACAUCAAGAUAUAUAAAAGUCAAGAAAAUGAAAAUGUAUCCCAAUUAAAACUCUUUCUGGCUGCAUUUAGCUAUUUUUGUUUAGAGAUGGUAAUUUAAUCCGGACUCAGUCCGGACCCGGAUGAACUCAGAAAAUUUGGGUUGGAUUCAACCCGUACCGGAGUGAAUAAAAUUUGAUAUCCGAAUUCAAUAUUUUCAACCCGGAUGUUUCCGGAUCCAGAUCCAGCUUUGGGUAAACCCGCAUAUCUGAACCCGGAUCCGGAUAACUAUUUUAAUAUUAAUUUUUAAAUCAUUUUAAAAUAAAAAAAAAUUAGAAAAAAUCAGCCCUAAUGCCCUUCCACAGCCACGGCAGCCAAACCAAACCCAGACCUUUCCUCUCUCUCUCUUUAGCCCUUCUUUUCAACAAAUCAUCAUCGUUGCUCAUCAUCGUUUCGUCGUGUUCAUCUUCAUCUUCAUCAUCAGCUGCCGUUUGUCCAGCUAUGUCACGAGUUUUGGCCGCCGUUUCCGUUUGUCCACCUUCGCAAAUCGGGAUCUCGAUUUGGCCGCCAACACUUCUACCCCCUGGUGUUUUGCUUUGUCCUCGACAACUUCUUUGUUGAUAAAUUGACGGGCACUUAUGAAUGCGUUUGUCUCUGUUUCUUCAUUUACACCUUCCCAGUUGUUUGUUCAUUUGCUUUUUGGAAGGAAAAAAAAAAAUCAGCCGCCAUUUAUCCUUCCCCUUUUCUUGACCUAACCCCACAAAGCCCAAUUUGUCAUCAUCAUUCAUUGGCAAAUUUGUCAUCAUCAUGGUUGAGACAUCAUGAUUAUCUUUGAUAAUUGAAUUUGUGUAAUAUGUUAUCUUGGAUUUUAUUUCUAAGUAAUUGAUUUUGAAUUAUUUUCCAUUAUUGGUGUUAAUAGAUAGAAGAUUAGAAAGGAAUUCUUCACUGAAGAAAGAGAUGGGAAAUUGCAUCUUUUAGCAAUCAUCCGGGUUAUAAACCCGGAAUCCGGAAAUCCGGAUUUUUCCGGGUUUAACCCGGUCCGGACCCGUAUGAAAAAUAUCCGGAUUUACAUCCGGAUCCGGUAUUAAAAUUUAUCAUCCGGAUCCGAAACCGGGAAGAAAAAACCCGGACCCAGACCCGCAUUUUGCCAUCCCUAUUUCCAUUUGAAGUUAACAACAACGUUUCUUUCGUUUUGUGGGCGACUCGACUGAGCCAGCUGGAUUCUAGUGCUAGUAUGUGAAAAUAGAAGGCUAAUGAUUUCACGUUCACUAGCCCACCUCCCCUCCUCUCGUUUCCUCUGAAUCAAUUUUCACGUGUGGUACCGAUUGAAAAUAUCUCUGAUAUUUCGUGGACAUCUCUAUUGAAAAUAUCUCUGACAUUUCACUCAGGCAAACUUAUUAAUAUAAAAAAUCUAUGAUUUUUUCGUCUUAUACUGUAGAAAAAUUUGUCUAUACAUUAAUCUAGAUGUUUGAGGUGGUUUAUACACCUGUGGUAUAGAUUUAUAGGUUGAUUGAUACGUCUGUGGUAUAGAUUUUAUGUAUUUCAUUAUCAAAUGCUGGCCUUUGGGACCCUAUCUACAUCUAUUUAUAAGACUAACGGGUGCCAGUUAUGCCAUUACAAAUUAUCCCCUCUUCAUACAUUUCGUUAAAAUUCUUCUGAAACACCAAAACUAAAUAAUCGAAUAUGGCUUUGCGGGUCGAUGAUGCCAGCAACAAUGAGGCUGCAAUUAUCACUUGUUUAGUUUCUAUGCUUGCCGUGGUUUAUUUCGCAUGGAAUGUGAACAAAUCAAGGAAAGCAAAUGCUAAACUGCCACCAGGACCUCGCGGCUUGCCUGUAGUCGGAUACCUCCCAUUUCUCGGAACUACUGACUUGCACAAGAAAUUCACGGAAUUAUCCGGAGUUUAUGGUCCGAUCUUCAAGCUCUGGCUCGGAAAUAAAUUAUGUGUCGUGGUGAGCUCACCUUCCCUAGUUAAACAAGUGGUUCGUGAUCAAGAUACAACAUUCGCAGACCGUGACCCGCCGAUCUCUGGACUAGUGACCUCCUUUGGUGGCAAUGAUAUUACAUGGUCCAAUUACGGUCCCGAAUGGAGAAAGUUGCGCAAAUUUUUUGUGGGCAAGAUGAUGAGUAACGCAAGCCUUGAUGCUUGUUAUGCU